UGUUCUCAGAUUAAAGUCUAGUGUUUGAGUAAGUGUGAAAAAACUCCUUGUGGGGAUUGUUGGUGGUUAUGUAAGCCGAGCUAUUUUUACUGUCUAACCUCUUUUGGGAUUUUUUCUUUCUUUUUUUUCCACAACGCAUCGCAAAGGAGACACUCGUUAAUAACAAGAGACCAUCUGUUCACCUGAUCGGCAGGCGAUGUCCACGUCUUUCUCGAAGUCCGUCUGCGGGUGAAACACAGUCAAAUGAGGGUUUAACUCCGAGCCAGGCCAAACAACAAUGAUAGCGAUCAUCGCUUCCAUACAGGGACACAGUGCACCAUCACAAUGACGAAACCCUGCAGUGAGUCGAAGACCGCAAAGAGGAUCUGAAAGAGGAUGGAGCGCUUGUCCGUCAUGGCGAGCACCGCGGACAUCCAGGUCAAAGCCAACAGAGGUAGGACGA